ACAAGCCAUGCAUGCCCGCACACCCGGGAAGCGGCGGACGGCUCAGGACAACGGUUGCACCCCCCGCGGCGGUCCCUGCUAGCCGGACACCGCUGGCAACCCGGCGCCAAGACGUGCGCGCAAGUGCGGACGCCCGCGGGCGAGCAGCGUGACGCAGCGACGGCCCGCCCGGGCUUCCGGGGCAUCACCCGGUCGGCGCGGUCGCGGCGCGCC
rnacentral:rRNA from 1 species